rnacentral:snoRNA from 1 species
GCAUGGGCUUGGAUUUAUGGCAGGCCCGCCCCCCUGCAAACCAUUGUCUGGCCUUGUCCACAGGCCUCAGCACUGAAGCGGGUUGCACAGUG